rnacentral:rRNA from 1 species
AUACGGAGGGAGCAAGCGUUAUUCGGAAUCACUGGGCGUAAAGGACGCGUAGGCGGGUUUGUAAGUCAGGUGUGAAAUCCUACAGCUCAACUGUAGAACUGCACUUGAAACUACAGACCUAGAGUAUGGAAGGGGCAGAUGGAAUUAGUGGUGUAGGAGUAAAAUCCGUAGAUAUCACUAGGAAUACCGAAAGCGAAGGCGAUCUGCUGGGACAUUACUGACGCUGAGGCGUGAAAGCGUGGGGAGCAAACAGGAUUAGAAACCCUAGUAGUCC